CCUCUGACUUUUAGUCACACUUUGCAGCUGCAGGACCUCACCACCGCAAUGUCCGCCCAGCCGCCAGAACGCGACGGAAGUGUCCAGCCCGUCCGAAACUACACCUGUGGCGGUCGCUGUCAAUGAGUGUCAGCUGUUGCCAUGGAGAUACCCCUGCAAUACGGAGUGCAGCCACGUCAGGUACCGACGAUGCGGAAGCGGUAUAGGGCGCUGGAGUGUGACGGACAGCGCAGCAAGUCCCAGUGAGUUCAGUCUGUUUGAGGCUGUUACCAUGGGGACGGAGGCGUGGCUAGUCGUGCCCAGACGUCAGCAAACUGCGAAGCGGAAGCGGAUGCCGGUAAUGGGCGGGCAGGCGCGACGUUGAGCAGCCUCACUCAUUGGUACCAGAGAAUAUGACACAUUCAACUUUGAUCCUGAACAAUGUCAACCGCAAAAAGGAAGUGAUGCGUAUAAAGACCACAGACAGGGUCAUCAGAGUGGUAGCUACCAGAAGAUGGCAAAAUGCGUUGGUGACCCAUACCUACAUAUGAGACAUCACCACACUCACCUGCCCAGUACAACCUGACAGUGCCGUAACUAGACAUUUUAGCGCUGUGUGCAAGAAAUGGCAUCGGCGCCCCCCUCCUCCAUUAUGCAAAAUAGGGGCAGUGCGCGGCGUAAGCGCGCGCAAAAAUAUAUAGGGGCGUGGCUUCACAGGGAAGGGGUGUGGCCACACAAUAAUACCAAUUCAGAUUACGGUGCACAGUAGUCUCCAUUAUUCAAAUUAUGCCACACAGUAGCGCCACUACACCAGGUAACAUUACGGCAGACAGUGUCCACUUUUUACACAUCACGGCAGACAGCGUCCACUGUUUACACUUUCCGUCAGAGAGCGUCCACUUUUUACACAUUACGGCAGACAGCGUCCCCCUUUUUACACAUCACGGCAGACAGCGUCCACCUUUUACACUUUACGGCAGACAGCGUCCACUUUUUACACAUUACGGCAGACAGCGUCCCCUUUUUACACAUUACGGCAGACAGCGUCCCCCUUUUUACAGAUCACGGCAGACAGCGUCCCCAGCGUCAAGUUAGGGUAUAUAUAUACAUAUACAUAUAUAUAUAUAUAUAUAUAUAUAUACAUAUAUACACAUAUAUAUAUAUAUAUAUAUAUAUAUAUAAACACAGCAGAGGAAGGGAUUCAUAUUCUCUAUACAGCCCUAUGCAGUGCCGCCCAAGUCCACCCCAGCCGGUAAACUGUGUAGCCCUGUCUCUUUUUUUACCUCCCCACCUCCUGGCUCUUCGUCUUCUGUAUCGUUUGGGCAGCUCCUGCUGCCGCUGCCUCCGUGGAUCUCCUCCGCCCGGCUCCCGCACACACAGUCCCCGUUUUGGCGCUGAGCCGCUGACGAUGCUGCAGGCACUGGGGGAGAGGGAGGGGGCGCACAGUCGCACAGUGGAAGGAGAGGGACGGCUCUGAGCAGCGCCACCACCAAUUAGUGCGCUGCUGCGGCUCCCUCCUCCCCCCUCCCUCCACGUCCUUCUCUCCUGCCUCCGGCGCUGCUGCUCCUCUCUGGCGGCUUGUAAUGAGUCAGUUUGACUCAUUACAAUGCCGCUGAGUAAAUUAACGGGGAUGCGGCCAGUUGCGCCCCCAGGGCGACUGCGCUGUGUGCCAGGCACACCUGGCACACACGUAGGUACGGCUCUGCAACCUGACAGCGCACAGCUUUGCAGCCUGAGGAAGGGCAUGUGCUGCAACACAGAUCAACACCAGUGAUCACCACUCGCACACACUGUGCUCCCAGCACCACGGAGGAACUAACAUCAGGACAGAUGUGGAACACCAUUAAAGAUGCCAUGGACAUAUGAGUAACUUUUGGUGCCCCUUCCCCCUACAAAAUGCAGCCUAGCUGAAUGUUUUGUGACUUGCAGCAGGGAAAGGGUUAAAGAUAUAUUCCGUGCUGCAGCUGGCAAGUGCUGGGGAGAGUUAACUGCCCGUGGUGACCAUUGGUGCAUAAUGGAGGUGGUAAUAUUAGGAGGGUGAGCUACAUAGCAGAGAGACCAGCACAACAGUAUUUCCCCUGGUACAGUACCUGAGAAGUGAUCAGCAGGUAGUGCAGUACAGCGUUGGUGAUCCCAUACUUUGCCACUGUCCACUGUCCUCCAGAGACCCUGUGAGUGUACUGUCGGCAGCUAAAGUGACGGAGAGCGCAGGCGCGGCCUACGUGGGAUGAGUGGAGCAUCCCUGUAGGCAGAGGGUUGCGUGCAGAAAUAGGUAGCUGUCAGGUGUAGUCCAUGCUGGUUAUUAAUAAUCAAUUGCCUGACACCUGGCCGCAAAACAGUCAGAAGUGCAUGAUCUCUGGUCAGAUCUAUAACUGCAGCUCACAUAACAGAAGGCCUGGUGACCCCUGAUGGUGGUGUAUCAUACUGCUUGGAAGCACAGCAAAACAGAACCGUACAACUUUGAGCAUCUUUAAAUGCUGAAAUACCGCUGAAUAGCGACCUUUCAGUCACCACCCAGGAACACCUAAUACAUUUGCAAUACAUUUAGGAGAACGUGCAUCUCAAUUGCAGCUGCCCCUCUGCAUGCACAGAAUGGGACGCAUUUGCAGCGUGACUUAUUUGCAACUCCAACACAUGCGCAGUUGAAAAACUUCGACCAUUUGUGCAAAUAUCAGCAUUGCCAUAAACAACAUUGCUGCAAAACUGUCUAAAAUUAUUCUUACUUGCAAUAAACAGUAUAAAUUGACUCUUAACAACUAUAUAAUUGCUAAAAUACAUACGGUAUACGUGUGUUACAUUUAUACUAAAAUAUACUUAUUUAUUGGGAUACAAUUCUCGUGGAAUGGAUCACUGGGAAUGCCCACUUCUACUGUCACCAAGGAUAAGCCGUCUUAAAAGAAGUUUUAUGUGGUUGUUCUUAUUCAUCCUAAUCUAAUAAAAAGAGUUUUAAAUACAA